UGGGGAAUUUUGGACAAUGGGCGCAAGCCUGAUCCAGCCAUGCCGCGUGAGUGAUGAAGGCCUUAGGGUUGUAAAGCUCUUUCGCCGGUGAAGAUAAUGACGGUAACCGGAGAAGAAGCCCCGGCUAACUUCGUGCCAGCAGCCGCGGUAAUACGAAGGGGGCUAGCGUUGCUCGGAAUCACUGGGGCGUAAAGCGCACGUAGGCGGAUCGUUAAGUCAGGGGUGAAAUCCUGGAGCUCAACUCCAGAACUGCCCUUGAUACUGGCGAUCUCGAGUUCGAGAGAGGUUGGUGGAACUCCGAGUGUAGAGGUGAAAUUCGUAGAUAUUCGGAAGAACACCAGUGGCGAAGGCGGCCAACUGGCUCGAUACUGACGCUGAGGUGCGAAAGCGUGGGGAGC
rnacentral:rRNA from 1 species